rnacentral:rRNA from 1 species
CCUACGGGUGGCAGCAGUGGGGAAUAUUGGACAAUGGGGGCAACCCUGAUCCAGCCAUGCCGCGUGUGUGAAGAAGGCCCUCGGGUUGUAAAGCACUUUCAGUGAGGAAGAACGCCUGGUGGUUAAUACCCAUCAGGAAAGACAUCACUCACAGAAGAAGCACCGGCUAACUCCGUGCCAGCAGCCGCGGUAAUACGGAGGGUGCGAGCGUUAAUCGGAAUUACUGGGCGUAAAGCGCGCGUAGGUGGCUUGAUAAGCCGGUUGUGAAAGCCCCGGGCUCAACCUGGGAACGGCAUCCGGAACUGUCAAGCUAGAGUGCAGGAGAGGAAGGUAGAAUUCCCGGUGUAGCGGUGAAAUGCGUAGAGAUCGGGAGGAAUACCAGUGGCGAAGGCGGCCUUCUGGACUGACACUGACACUGAGGUGCGAAAGCGUGGGUAGCAAACAGGAUUAGAUACCCGGGUGGUC